rnacentral:misc_RNA from 1 species
AGCACUUCUAGUGGUAUGUGUUGUCAUAUAAUUGAUCAAAAUAAAAUUAGAAAAGUGUCUCCAGUUCCAGUAUACUGUCGCUGAGUGCCCUUAAUGUUAUAAUUUCACUUUAACUAAUGGUCUUUGGCCCAACAUUUGCAUUAGUUACUUGUAAUAUUUUGGAUUCUGUGUAAUGUAACAGGUUGUUUUCCAAGUGCAUCUCA